rnacentral:lncRNA from 1 species
GUUUAGAAAAAGCAAAUAUGUCAUCCGUCAAAAUUUAAAUCUUUACGAAUAUUUUUAAGAGAAUUAAAACAAAAAAAGACGGACAUAAUUCGCACGUGGCUGCAGCUACUGUAAUUGUUGUAGUUGGGAAGUUAGAACGGUAGGAUACAGAAUGGAAUUUAAUGUAUAUAUGUGAUCAACGAUAAACCAUUGCUAAUGAAAAAACGAUUCUGAGAGGAGUUCAAUUGAGAGUGAUGCUUUGACAACAAUAUAUAAUAUGUCAUGUUAUGGUAAGAUAAUUAAAUAUUCAUUAUAUAUUUUCUUUAUAAUAUUUGUUUAAUAUUGUACCGAUUUUCCCGUUUCUCCAUGUUUUUCCUGAUUUUCACAUUAGCUGGGAAAACUUAGGAAAAUCAAAAAAUCACCUUUCUAAGUAUCACCCUAAGAAAAUUUCCUUUAAGAAAAAGGUAUGCAUCACAUACAUCGGAGUAACCUUUCUGAUAGAAAAAGUUCAUAUAAAAGAAAAAAAAAACAUCUUUGUAAAACCAAUGCAUUUUUCACAACACUCAGAAUCUAAAACAAAAUUAAAAAUAAUAAUUAUAAAAAAAAAAACAUUGUUUUCGUUAAUUUCCCCAUUCUUUCUGCGUUUUUUUUUUCAGUUUUGCUCAAUUUUUUAAAAAAAUCUACUGGGAAAUUCAAAAAAUUACUUUCUUACCCAAUAUUCAAAAUGUAACAAAAAUGGUCGCUUGGUAUUUUUUAAUUAAAACAAUAUUUUCUAUAGAAAAUAUAGUUCAUAAAAAUUAAAAACAAUGAAAUCAUAACGCCGUGGUAUGCCGUAAAUACUUGCCGUUUGUCCGAUAAUUUUUUUUCCCGAUUUUUACCAAUUAUUAUGAAAAUCGAAAAAAAUUACCUCCUCAACCACAAUGCACCAACUAGAUUACAUUUACUUUCCAAAAAGGUGCCACACUUAAUACAUCGGAUCAAGAUUUCUGGUUGAAAAGUUGCUCUUAGAUACAAAAACAAAAUACUAUCAUCAUAGUAAAAACUUAUAGAUCCCCGCUACGCUCCAAAUCUAAAACAACUAUAUCUAUAACGCUUGAAAUUGUAAUAUGGCUAAAAGCCAAACAUUUAUGCUUUCUCUCUUAUAUAGUAAACUGCUACUUAGACAACAUUUUGGAACGAAUACAAAAAAAAAAAAAAUGUAUAAUAUACAUUAUGUAUGUGUAAAUGCCUACAUAAUUUUGAAUUUAAUUAAUUAGAUUAAAUGUUAAACCACUUGAAUUUGGAGUUGACAGGCGGACUUUGAUAAUAAUGAUAUUAAAAGUAUUUAAAAUAACUGUACAAAACCUUAAUUAUAUUGUAAGUAAUUAUUUAUAUUUUAAUGGCUUAACCCAAAAUCUGGGUUCUGGAUAUAAUACCUACGUAUUUCUUUAAAUAUCUUAAACUUCUUAGAGAUAAUAACUAUACAUAUUUUAUGAUUGAAUGGUUGUCAACUAUUUUAGAUUAAAAUUUGUUAGCAUAGAAAAUAAAGAAAUUACUUUUCAAUAAAUAGUCGUGGUCUAGGAUAUAUUAUAUAUGAUUAGUGAUUAUUGAUUACUUAAAGUAGAGCCUAGAAGCAUCUAGGUUAGGUCUAUCUAACUGAGCGCAGUAAUAAAUGUAUUGGUUUUACUAGAUGUGUGCUUUUUUCUAUGUCUGUAAACAACAUUUUUGCAAGAACCCUUGUUCCAACCAAAAACUAUAUAGACAUUUUCUUAUACAAUUUUUUAUUUUGUUGAUGCAUUGAGCAAGUUUCUUAUGAUUUUUUUUGAAGUUUUCUUAAUAAAUGGAAAAAAACUGGCAAUAUUUUUUGUACAAUUUUGUUGAUUUCUAACGUAGGUAUCAAGAGAAAAAUAUAAUUUAUAACAAUAUUGAAAUAAUACUCUUCUCGGAAUCGCUUUUUGUUAAUAAAGGUUUAUCUUUACAUAUGCCACAAAUUCAAUUACUCUAUAUAUCCUCGUUUUCAAAGUUCCAACUGCCUUUUCCUAAUACACACAUCAGCAAACUCAGCACACUCAUUAGCAGUAUUAGACUUUUUUUGUUGUGUAUUUAUAUUUAAUGAAUAUUAUUCUUAUAUUAAAAUUACUUCUAUCGGUACAAUAAUAAUGCACCAUGUAUCAUGUACGUACUCGCUACGCAUAAUACAGUAGAGUGCAAACUAUAAAAUUAUCGAACGGACUACAGACUUUUUUAAAAGAUAAACUCACACAAAACACCGCCACCACUGCCGGUUGUAAUUGCUAAAUAAUAUUUUGUCAUGCCGGUUACGUAAGAUUAAUUUUUAAGGCAUUAAAAAGAACAUUUAAAAUUAAUCGAAUUUUAGACAUUUAUAAAAAAAAUGUAUUAGAACUUGUUUAAUGUAGCUCUAAUCGAUCUAAAAUGUCAGUCUGAUCUACGUGACAUUUCAAAUAAAAUGAGUGCAUUUGCAAUUUAUAAUUAUUCAGUUGUUCUAGUAGUUUGUCCACGUAAAAAAAAACCACGAACAUGCUAAUUAAUGUUUACGGAAAUUAUAAAAUAUAGAUAUCUUUUUAAUUUUUAACUAAACAUAUUUAUACAUUUAAAUAAUUAAAUUUCUGUGUAGUUUUUUUAAGUUCAAAUCAUACGAUAAGGUUUAGUAAAAAAAGGAUUCGUGGAAAUUUUUACCUAGAUAUAAUGCGAAUACACAUAUUGAAUAAUAAGAAGAAUGUAUAAAUAUCGUAACAGAAAAAUUAACUAAAAAUGCAUUAUAUUUGCUUAAACAUUAUCUGGGAGAAUUAUAAAUAUACCUACUUUUUACGAUACGCUCCAUUAUCUAACUAUCUCGUAAAGUAUAUUUUUGCUAGACAAUGUUACAUCGAUUCAGUGCAUUAACUUUUAAAAUAUUAUUGCCAACAUUUUAAUGACAUGUUUAAAUUUUUAAUGUUUUUAGAUAAUAAUAAUUUUUUAUUCAAAAAAUUAUGUAAACAAACAUAAAACUGAUUUUUAAAAUUAUAAGUAAGUAAUAAUUAAAGUUAAUUUUUUUUCAAUAAAUAAACCAUUAAUAAUACAAAUAAAAUUACGUGAUCUGACUUGUCAAAAAUAAAAAAAAAUAUAGACAUACUUUGCACUGUAGGUGGGCCACGGUUGUAGAUGAAAAAUUGGGAUGUCGAGAGAAUUUAAUGUUUAUCUGUACGUGACAAUUGAUCGUCACUAACGAAAAUCGAUUCUGAUUGGAGUUCGGUUGUACAUGUUUUGAAAAGCCGUAAUAUUUACGAUUUGAAAAUAAUGAAUUCUCUCAUUUUUCCUGUGUUUUUUCCCGAUUUUCCCAUUUAUUAAGAAAACUCCUGGAAAAAUAACCUCGUUAAAGUCUUAUCCUAGUAAAAUUUCUUUUCAGAAACAGUGCUACACAUGAAAAUCGGAGAAUAAUUUUUAGUAGAAAAGUUAUUCACAGAAAAAAAAUCAUCAUUGUAAAACAAAUACAUUCCUCGCUCCGCUUAGAAUCUAAAAUUACACUUGCAAAAACUUAGUUUAGGCUUGCAUAAUUAGAGAUCAUCCGUGUUUUCGAAAAUAUUGAUGAAUUACUAACCGCACUUAAAUUUAUUUUUAUUUGUUUAAUCCCUUUUAAUUGUGACUUAAGUCAAGAAUUCCAUGCCCUUGACAAUUAAAUGCCUACGAAAAAUGUUUUUUGACGCAGAGUUAAAUAUAAAAUGUAUAAUCAUAGCUACCGGUUUAUGGCUUAUUGUUUAUUUAAAAAAUAUGUAUAUAUAUAUAUAUAUAUAUACAAAUGCCUUUUUUAGAUGUGCAAUUAGGUAUUAUAAUAAGUUAUUUAUAUAGCGUUAAUAUAAUAUUAUUUAUUAUUUUGAUCAAACUAACCGUUUAAAGAAUACUUAUUGAAAGUAUAUAUUUCCAGAAUUGAACACGAUUGUUAUUUUUUUUAUUAAAUUUAAAAUUCCACUUAAUAUUAAAUUCUAACCAUCAAGAAUAACUAGCAUAUAUUAUAAAUCUCAUAUUUAUAUAUAUAUAUAUAUAUAUAUAUUUAUUUGAUCAAAUAUAAAUUUAAAAACGUAUAGAUAUUAUGUAACAACAUCUAAAACAUAUGCUAUUAUAUUUUAGUGUGUACGGUUGGUAGGUAAUAUAUAAUUUAUAAUGUAUUAUAGGUGCCUACAUGAUUUAAUAUAAUGUUCAUAAAACUACUGACCACGUGACUUUGAAGUAUCAAUUAUGGUGUUUUUAAUGAUAUUGGAUAAAGAACAAAUUACAAAGAACAUCUGGAAAAAAUCCAAAAAUGUUUAUAUUACACACGUGUUGUCUCGAGAAGUUUAAAUUAUGAGUGUAUUCAUCGUUUAACAGGAGGAAAAAUGUGAAUCUUAAAGAAAAUUAAAAUUGUUCGACCUUUGACAUUUAUUAUAAUUAUAAUGUUCUAGUUAUUAAAUUAUAACAUGGUGUGUAAUGUGUAAUAGUGUGUAAAGGUAAUGAAAUAUCUUAAUAUUAUAAUAAUUAUAAUAUAACAUUUAGUUUUUAGUAAUUAUUAUGAUGCCGAAAUAGAAAAGAUAAUAUCAUAUUGUAUUUUUUUUUCUUAGAAAUUAAUUAUAUUAGACCAACAUUUUUCAAUGACUAUUAACAUUUAUGCAC